GGCUAUAGCCAAGCGGUAAGGCAACGGACUUUGACUCCGUCAUGCGUUGGUUCCUUCGGGUUAUGAGCCCGACGAGCUA
rnacentral:tRNA from 1 species